GUCGGCUGACUGGCACUUGGAGAGUGGCAAGUCUUCCAGUAUGGGGAGCAAAACAGCUAUGGGUCAAGUCCGAUAUCUUUAGGAGAAGUCUUAUUGUGAGGGCGAGUUAUAUAACACCAUAGGACUGGCCGUCCCAUAUGAAAAGAUUAUAUUAGAAUUGAAUGAAGCUUUGUUUAUAUAUUGAUAAUGACAGUAUAUAUAUCGUGUCUUGACUAAUUGCGUGCCAGCAGUCGCGGUAAUACGUAAGAGACUAGUGUUAUUCAUCUUAAUUAGGUUUAAAGGGUACCCAGACGGUCAAUAUAGCUUAUAAAAUGUUAGUACUUGACUAGAGUUUUAUGUAAGAGGGCAGUACUUGAGGAGGAGAGAUGAAAUUUCGUGAUACCAAAGGGACUCUGUAAAGGCGAAGGCAGCCCUCUAUGUAAAAACUGACGUUGAAGGACGAAGGCACAGAGAACAAACAGGAUUAGAUACCCAAGUAGUCUUUGCAGUAAAUGAUGAAUGCCAUAGGUUAGAUUGAUCAAUUAUAGUCUAGGGUUAGUCUAGCAAACUAAUGCCCUAUGAUAUAAUUCAAAAUAUCUGGUCUAUAAAUGAAAGUGUAAGCAUUUCACCUCAAGAGUAAUGUGGCAACGCAGGAACUGAAAUCACUAGACCGUUUCUGACACCAGUAGUGAAGUAUGUUAUUUACGUAAAAACCCCAAAAAAUG
rnacentral:rRNA from 1 species